CGAAUGCUGACAUAAGUAACGAUAAAGCGGGUGAAAAGCCCGCUCGCCGGAAGACCAAGGGUUCCUGUCCAACGUUAAUCGGGGCAGGGUGAGUCGACCCCUAAGGCGAGGCCGAAAGGCGUAGUCGAUGGGAAACAGGUUAAUAUUCCUGUACUUGGUGUUACUGCGAAGGGGGGACGGAGAAGGCUAUGUUGGCCGGGCGACGGUUGUCCCGGUUUAAGCGUGUAGGCUGAUUUUCCAGGCAAAUCCGGAAAAUCAAGGCUGAGGCGUGAUGACGAGGCACUACGGUGCUGAAGCAACAAAUGCCCUGCUUCCAGGAAAAGCCUCUAAGCAUCAGGUAACAUCAAAUCGUACCCCAAACCGACACAGGUGGUCAGGUAGAGAAUACCAAGGCGCUUGAGAGAACUCGGGUGAAGGAACUAGGCAAAAUGGUGCCGUAACUUCGGGAGAAGGCACGCUGAUAUGUAGGUGAAGCGACUUGCUCGUGGAGCUGAAAUCAGUCGAAGAUACCAGCUGGCUGCAACUGUUUAUUAAAAACACAGCACUGUGCAAACACGAAAGUGGACGUAUACGGUGUGACGCCUGCCCGGUGCCGGAAGGUUAAUUGAUGGGGUUAGCGGUAACGCGAAGCUCUUGAUCGAAGCCCCGGUAAACGGCGGCCGUAACUAUAACGGUCCUAAGGUAGCGAAAUUCCUUGUCGGGUAAGUUCCGACCUGCACGAAUGGCGUAAUGAUGGCCAGGCUGUCUCCACCCGAGACUCAGUGAAAUUGAACUCGCUGUGAAGAUGCAGUGUACCCGCGGCAAGACGGAAAGACCCCGUGAACCUUUACUAUAGCUUGACACUGAACAUUGAGCCUUGAUGUGUAGGAUAGGUGGGAGGCUUUGAAGUGUGGACGCCAGUCUGCAUGGAGCCGACCUUGAAAUACCACCCUUUAAUGUUUGAUGUUCUAACGUUGGCCCGUUAUCCGGGUUGCGGACAGUGUCUGGUGGGUAGUUUGACUGGGGCGGUCUCCUCCUAAAGAGUAACGGAGGAGCACGAAGGUUGGCUAAUCCUGGUCGGACAUCAGGAGGUUAGUGCAAUGGCAUAAGCCAGCUUGACUGCGAGCGUGACGGCGCGAGCAGGUGCGAAAGCAGGUCAUAGUGAUCCGGUGGUUCUGAAUGGAAGGGCCAUCGCUCAACGGAUAAAAGGUACUCCGGGGAUAACAGGCUGAUACCGCCCAAGAGUUCAUAUCGACGGCGGUGUUUGGCACCUCGAUGUCGGCUCAUCACAUCCUGGGGCUGAAGUAGGUCCCAAGGGUAUGGCUGUUCGCCAUUUAAAGUGGUACGCGAGCUGGGUUUAGAACGUCGUGAGACAGUUCGGUCCCUAUCUGCCGUGGGCGCUGGAGAACUGAGGGGGGCUGCUCCUAGUACGAGAGGACCGGAGUGGACGCAUCACUGGUGUUCGGGUUGUCAUGCCAAUGGCACUGCCCGGUAGCUAAAUGCGGAAGAGAUAAGUGCUGAAAGCAUCUAAGCACGAAACUUGCCCCGAGAUGAGUUCUCCCUGACUCCUUGAGAGUCCUGAAGGAACGUUGAAGACGACGACGUUGAUAGGCCGGGUGUGUAAGCGCAGCGAUGCGUUGAGCUAACCGGUACUAAUGAACCGUGAG
rnacentral:rRNA from 1 species